rnacentral:rRNA from 1 species
AUGACAGUUAUACUAGGAGGCGACUUCAGACAAAUCCUGUCAGUUAUAACCAAAGGAAGGAGAGAGCAGAUAGUAAAUGCUUCAAUCAAAAGGUCAUAUCUGUGGAAACACUUUGAAAUAUUUGAGUUAACACAGAACAUGCGGCUGAAGUGUUUGUCAGUUGAUCCAAUACAAAAGCAAAAGGUCGCUGAAUUUGCAGAGUGGAUACUACAGAUUGGCGAUGGGAAAACAACAUCAGAUGAAGGAGAGGAUUGGAUAAAAAUACCAAAAGACCUACUGCUCGAGAAAGGAGAAAAUCGUAAAGAACAAAUCGUCAAAAGCAUAUACCCAAAUUUGCUGCGAAAAUACCGUGAGCGGGAUUACCUAGAAGGAAGAUCAAUACUAUGUCCAAGAAAUGAUACAGUCAAGGAGAUAAAUGACCACAUAAUGAGCCAAAUACAAGGUGAAGAGGUGACAUACCUAAGCCUGGAUACAGUGUGCAAGGAAACGACAAAUACCAACAUCAUGAUGAACAUGCAGCCUACUGAGUUCCUCAACACCUUAACGUCCCCAGGAAUACCAGACCAUAAGUUAAAACUGAAGGUGGGUUUGCCGGUCAUGCUACUACGCAACAUCAACCAAGCAGCAGGUUUAUGCAACGGUACAAGAAUGACAAUUACACAACUUGGAAACAAAUACAUCGAGACAGAAAUAAUCACAGGAACACAUGUCGGCGAUAAGGUAUACAUACCUCGAAUCAUCAUGUCACCAAGCGACUCAAAAUGGCCAUUCGUGCCGAAAAGAAGGCAAUAUCCAUUAUCAGUGUGCUUUGCAAUGACAAUAAACAAGAGCCAAGGUCAGUCCUUAAACAAGGUAGGCAUAUAUUUGCCUAAGCAAGUAUUCUGCCAUGGACAACUAUAUGUGGCACUAUCAAGAGUGACAAACCAGGGAGGAUUGAAGGUGCUGAUCGAUGACGAAGAGUGUCCAACCGAAGAUGUCGCAAAGAAUAUUGUUUACAAAGAGAUUUUU